CAUACGGGGGGCAGCAGUGGGGAAUAUUGGACAAUGGGCGAAAGCCUGAUCCAGCCAUGCCGCGUGUGUGAAGAAGGCCUUCGGGUUGUAAAGCACUUUCAGUGGGGAAGAAAGCCUUGGGGCUAAUACCCUCGAGGAAGGACAUCACCCACAGAAGAAGCACCGGCUAACUCCGUGCCAGCAGCCGCGGUAAUACGGAGGGUGCGAGCGUUAAUCGGAAUUACUGGGCGUAAAGCGCGCGUAGGCGGUCUGAUAAGCCGGUUGUGAAAGCCCCGGGCUCAACCUGGGAACGGCAUCCGGAACUGUCAGGCUAGAGUGCAGGAGAGGAAGGUAGAAUUCCCGGUGUAGCGGUGAAAUGCGUAGAGAUCGGGAGGAAUACCAGUGGCGAAGGCGGCCUUCUGGACUGACACUGACGCUGAGGUGCGAAAGCGUGGGUAGCAAACAGGAUUAGAUACCCCGGUAGUC
rnacentral:rRNA from 1 species